rnacentral:lncRNA from 1 species
GAAAAAUACCACUGCAGUUCUGGAGUCUUGGCUAAGAUAGAACUGCACAGCAGAACACAUCUUCUGUUUUAAUCACCUGAAUGUCUGCACAACAUUUAAACCAGCAGAAAAAGGAAUGCUUCUGAAAGCUGCCAUGCUGUCCCCAAAAGGAGUGGAAUGCCCCAGUGUUGUCACAGCUCCACUUUGCUGGAAUGUCAUCACAACAAGCAAAAGAGCCGAGGCGCCAGCUGUCAGUGCCACAACCAGGGAAGGUCCUGAUUCCUGAUAGCCUCAUCUUUCCCAAAGACCACAAAGUACGUGGCUGUGCUCCGACGGCGCCGCGUUGCGGUGUGUUGCUGGAGGCUCGUUUCGAUUUCAGAGCACAUCUGGCAGUUGAGAAUAAAAU